UGACAGAAGAUAGAGAGCACAGAUGACGAAUUGCAUGGAGUUUGCAUCUCGAUACUUUGUGCUCUCUAUGCUUCUGUCACC
rnacentral:pre_miRNA from 1 species